rnacentral:rRNA from 1 species
UACGUAGGGUGCGAGCGUUAAUCGGAAUUACUGGGCGUAAAGCGUGCGCAGGCGGCGCGUUUAAGACAGGUGUGAAAGCCCCGAGCUUAACUUGGGGAAUUGCGCUUGUGACUGGCGAGCUGGAGUGUGGCAGAGGGAGGUGGAAUUCCACGUGUAGCAGUGAAAUGCGUAGAGAUGUGGAGGAACACCGAUGGCGAAGGCAGCCUCCUGGGCCAGCACUGACGCUCAUGCACGAAAGCGUGGGGAGCAAACAGG